rnacentral:RNase_P_RNA from 1 species
UCAGGCGGCCGGACGGCCGCUUCCGCCCAAUGCCGAAAGGCGGGCGGGAGAGGAAAGUCCGGGCUCCACGGAGGCAGGGCGCCGGGGAAAUCCCGGCGGGCCGGGGGUCAAGCCCCGGUUCAGGGACAGCGCCGCAGAAAUCAGACCGCCGGGGUCCGCCCCGGCAAGGGUGAAACGGUGGGGUAAGAGCCCACCGCCCCGACCGCGAGGAAGGGGGCACGGCAAGCCCCGCCCGGAGCAAGACCGAAUAGGGACGGACGUCCCGGAGCGAUCCGGGACAGGCGCGCCUCCGCGUUCCGUCCGGGUAGGUCGCCAGAGGCGCCGCGCAAGCGGCGUCCCAGAGGAAUGGUCGUCGGCUUUUUCCAUUUUGGAAAAGGCGUCACAGAACCCGGCUUACAGGCCGCCUGACCCU